UACGAAGGGGGCUAGCGUUGCUCGGAAUCACUGGGUGUAAAGGGUGCGUAGGCGGGUCUUUAAGUCAGGGGUGAAAUCCUGGAGCUCAACUCCAGAACUGCCUUUGAUACUGAAGAUCUUGAGUUCGGGAGAGGUGAGUGGAACUGCGAGUGUAGAGGUGAAAUUCGUAGAUAUUCGCAAGAACACCAGUGGCGAAGGCGGCUCACUGGCCCGAUACUGACGCUGAGGCACGAAAGCGUGGGGAGCAACAGG
rnacentral:rRNA from 1 species